AUCAAGACGCCGUCGUCAGGGGCAAGAAUAAAAUUCUUUUCUUUUUAUCAUUUUAUUCUUGCCCCUGACGACGGCGUCUUGAUACGCUGAA